AGCUUCCAAAACUCCUGAAUUUUGUAUAAAACUCCAAAUAUAACAAAAUCCCUUCAAAACAUAUUUUUCCCGUAAAGGAUUUUCUCGCCUCCAAAUUUUAGAAAAUCAUAACUAUUGAUCUAACCAUUCAGUUUGUUUCAAAUUUACAAGAUAGGUAGAAUUUACCCUUAACUUUUACCACAAAAAAAACCAACCACAAAUUCACUCUCGAUCUU
rnacentral:lncRNA from 1 species